CGAUAAAAUAUGUAAAUAUUUUUAUUAAAAGUAUUUUUAGGAAUAAAUUAAAUAUAUAUAUAUAUGCAAAAAAUUAGUCGAAAUUCAAAACCUACGAAGCUGACAUUCCGUAUCAGGAACUUUCUCGUAAUUGUGAAAUUAAUGUUGUUUUACUGUUUUUUGUUCGUAAACUAAGAGUAUUGGUCAAAACAUAUACCGAAUUUUUCUUUUGUAGCACAUAAGCUAAACAACAGAAAAAUUUAAAUAGAACAAAAAUAUUGAUGUAACUGCCAUCAGUAACGUGCAGAGGAUGUUAAAAGGGCAGGGGGUCAUUGACAGAAAAGGGCAUUUUGUAAGCAACAUCAUAAGGCAAGACUUUUUUUUUGACGAGUGUGGGAGGUGUUAGGGGAAACUGUGGGUUGCCUAAGGUACACGUAGAGUGGAAAGCCAUGAGAAGCAAACAGAUCCUCUUUUAUUCCUGUUCAAUCGGUCUUAUAAAUACUUUUAGAAACUAAACAAGUUCCUGUGUGCAUUUUAAAGAUUAAAUAUUUUUUUCCUAGCUUGCAGCAAGCAAGAUGUGGAAUCAGGCGUGUCUUUUAGGGCAAAUUUUGGGCAAUUUGUUAUGACUGGUAAAAAGGGCACUUUCGGAACAUAAGAGGAGAUGCGGCUUGAACCCACCCAGUCACCCUCCUGUGCACGUCACUGACUGUUAUGUUUAAGUAAAACUUUCUCAAGAUUUUUAUCUAGUCAGUGUUGUGGCUUUGGUAUUGAAAGCUACAAAAUUUCGAAGAAAAAUUACAUAAAUCAAACUAUAAUCAUUUUACAGUGGUAAAAUAAUAGUGUCCUUUUAACUUAAUUAUUCUAUUGUUCUCUUGCAUCUCAAAAAUAAUAGUGUCCUUUUAACGUAAUUAUUCUAUUGUUCUCCUGCAUUUCAAAAAUAAUAGUGUCCUUUUAAUUUAAUUAUUCUAUUGUUCUCUUACAUUUCAAAAAUAAUAGUGUCCUUUUAACUUAAUUAUUCCAUUGUUCUCUUACAUUUCAAAAAUAAUAGUGUCCUUUUAAUUUAAUUAUUCUAUUGUUCUCCUACAUUUCAUUGUCCGACGACUCAGUAUAAAUUUCCUUACAUGUGGAUAAUUCAACUGAAUAGGGGUCUGCUUUAGUUGUGGACUAAUACUGUUGAUUACCAGUAUCUGUUUUCGGAAUCUAUGAUUAUCAAUACUUAAGUGAGUGUCCUACGCCAACGUAUUUGAUUGUUCGUUAAAAUAUAUUAGAAAUGAUUUAUUGGUAACCCAAAAUAGCCAAAUGCCUAACACGUUGAUGACUAUUACUUGCACUUAAAUAUAAAGUGAAAAAAAUAUCCAUUCAGGUUUAUAAAUGUUUCUUACUGUACAUAUUGGUAACCUUAAAGAUUUAUUAUCUGAUUCUGCACUUAGAGUGCUUAUUUUCCUGUAAUAAGCUGCACUGAAGUUAGUGCCAGUUCUAGCUUAAAGAUAUUGUAUUCAUCAAAAUAGUAAGACACAGUUUUCUUCCUUAAUCAUAAGUAAAAACGGACGUAGCUAGAUAUGGGGCUUGUUACAACAUUUAAAUUCAAAUAACCAGUACAUAAGGUAUUAAAUAAAACGUGUUUAUCUAAAGCAUACAUGGUCUCCGGUACAUUUUAGGACUUAGUCCCCUCUCCUCCCCAACUGAAAUUUCAUAGUUAUUUACGCCUAUGGGAAAAUAGGUUUUUCUAAGAACGUAUUUUUGAUCAAUCUCUAUCCUAAGAAAGAAAUAUUUAUUCGUGGUUAUAAAAUCACGAUGCGACUAGAUCUACGUUAUUUUAAAAUGUAGCUAGGAAAAACCCAAAUAGAAACCUCAGAUUCAAACUUGUCAUUGACUUUGAGUGCCGAUGUGUUAAGAUAUUCUUGUUUAUCUUGUUCUAUUGUUUACUAUUAAUAUACUAAAGAAAGUAAGAUGCAUGAAUACGUUUAUGAACAGAGCAAAACUGGGGUCUAUAUACCACAAAAAUAACACCUCACUGAUUCUGGAUUCUCCUCCUACCAUUUCAUUUCGUUAGAAAAAAGAAAGAGUAAUUAAACUGCUAGCCUCGAUUCCAUUCCCUGAUCUUUUUACUUGAUCACAGGGGAAGGGGGGAGUACUAAGCCUCGAUUCCAUUCCCUGAUCUUUUUACUUGAUCACAGGGGGAAGAGGGAGUACUAAGCCUCAAUUCUAUUCCCUUAUCUUUUUACUUGAUCACAGUGGGAAGGGGGAAUACUAAGCCUCGAUUCCAUUCCCUGAUCUUUUUACUUGAUCACAGAGGGAAGGGGAGGGGGGAAUACUAAGCCUCGAUUCUAUUUCCUGAUCUUUUUACUUGAUCACAGGGGGAAGAGGGAGUACUAAAGAGAAACCGAAAGUCUCCAGUAGGAACUUUUAUUAAUUUCAGAACCACAUGACUGAGGAGACCCAGUUUGGUGUACAAUAUUAAUAUUUUACUGGAUUGAGUAAAAAAAACAAAGAUAAUUGUACGUUUCACAAAAUCUCCAGUAAAGGCGUCAUCGGGUACUUCGCCUUCGUGAAACUUACAACUGUCUUCGUUUUUCCUCAAUUCUGUAAUAAUGGAGGUUCACCAAGUACCGACGGUUUCAAGUAUCAAUUAUAUAAUACUUUACUGGGUAGAAGGAUAUUCAUAUAACGAAUCUUGACACAAUGGGUUUUUAUCGUCGAACUGUAAUCUUUUGUGGGAGAAAUAUACAUCAAUGAUUCUGUGGGUAUUAGUUUUCAAAAAUAUUGCAUUAUGUUUGUAAGUAAUUAAGUUAAUAUAAUAUGACUCAAUCACUAUAUUUGUAAGUACUUACGUUGGUAUCAUAUGACUAAUUUUAAUGUUUGUAAGUACUUAUGGUAAUAUAAUAUGACUCAAUCAUUAUGUUUGUAAGUACUUACGUUGAUAGCUAGUGACUAAUUUUAAUGUUUGUAAGUACUUACGUUAAUAUAAUAUGACUCAAUCAUUAUGUUUGUAAGUACUUACGUUGGUAUCAUAUGACUCAAUCUUUUAUGUUUGUAAGUACUUACGUUGGUAUUAAAUGACUCAAUCUUUUAUGUUUGUAAGUACUUAUGGUAAUAUAAUAUGACUCAAUCAUUAUGUUUGUAAACACUUCUGUCGGUAUCAUGCGACUCAAUUCUUUAUGUUUGUAAGUACUUAACUUAGUAUAAUAUGACUUAAUCUUCAUGUUUGUAAGUACUUAUGCUGGUAUCAUGUGACUUAAUAAUUGAUGUUUAUAAAUACUUAUGUUGGUAUAAUGUGACUGAAUCAUUUAUGUUUAUAAAUAAUUAUGUUGGUA